rnacentral:lncRNA from 1 species
GCUGUUAGAAGUAUGCCCUAGAAGCCAAUUUGGCUGACGCAUUAUUUUAUUCUGGGACAUAAAUUUGUACUUGACCUAAUUAUGAAUUUAUUAAGUUGGGCAUUCUUUUUAUUCAUGUUCUUAUGUGUCCAUGAAUCAUCCAAGGAAUUAAUAAGAUGAUGACGCAUAUUCUCAAGAGUUGAGAAUUUGAGGCAUGUGUCAUUGGCGAUUAAUUCCUGAAUUGCUCCUGAUCGAUGGAUCAUCACGAGGACGAUG